rnacentral:tRNA from 1 species
GUGGCUAUAGUUUAGCGGUUAGAACACUGGGUUGUGGUCCCAGAAAUGAGGGUUCGAUUCCCUCUAGCCACC